rnacentral:rRNA from 1 species
UACGGAGGGUGCAAGCGUUAUCCGGAUUCACUGGGUUUAAAGGGUGCGUAGGUGGGCUAGUAAGUCCGUGGUGAAAUCUCCAAGCUUAACUUGGAAACUGCCGUGGAUACUAUUAGUCUUGAAUCUCGUGGAGGUAAGCGGAAUAUGUCAUGUAGCGGUGAAAUGCUUAGAUAUGACAUAGAACACCAAUUGCGAAGGCAGCUGACUACAGGGGCAUUGACACUGAGGCACGAAAGCGUGGGGAUCAAACAGG